rnacentral:rRNA from 1 species
GGGCUCAUAUGAGGCGGGCUGGACCUCUCGGGGUUACAGCCUUGCUGAAUUAUUCACCCUUGUCUUUUGCGUACUUCUUGUUUCCUUGGUGGGUUCGCCCACCACUAGGACAAACAUAAACCUUUUGUAAUUGCAAUCAGCGUCAGUAACAAAUUAAUAAUUACAACUUUCAACAACGGAUCUCUUGGUUCUGGCAUCGAUGAAGAACGCAGCGAAAUGCGAUAAGUAGUGUGAAUUGCAGAAUUCAGUGAAUCAUCGAAUCUUUGAACGCACAUUGCGCCCUUUGGUAUUCCAAAGGGCAUGCCUGUUCGAGCGUCAUUUGUACCCUCAAGCUUUGCUUGGUGUUGGGCGUCUUGUCUCUAGCUUUGCUGGAGACUCGCCUUAAAGUAAUUGGCAGCCGGCCUACUGGUUUCGGAGCGCAGCACAAGUCGCACUCUCUAUCAGCAAAGGUCUAGCAUCCACUAAGCCUUUUUUUCAACUUUUGACCUCGGAUCAGGUAGGGAUACCCGCUGAACUUAAGCAUAUCAA